AACUCCUCCUCCUCUGAAACCUUAAACUUUUUUUUUGAAGAAAUCAAGAAACAGCAAAAGCACAAAACAGAAACAUGAAAUUCACAGGCUCGCCUGGAAUAGACCUCAAGAUCAAAGACAAAACUCUGUCUCUCCAAGAAGACAACAGUUCCUUCCAUGUGGGAACUUCAGUUUGGUCAGGUUCUUUAGUCCUCUCCAAAUUUCUCGACCGGUGGACCCCACUGUCCACGAACCCCACCACCACCCCAAACCGUUACUCCACCCUCCUCGACUUCCACAACCGCCGUGCCAUCGAGCUAGGCACCGGCUGUGGCGUCACUGGCAUGGCCCUUUACCUUCUUGGACUCACUGACAUUGUCCUUACUGACAUCCACCCUGUGAUGCCUGCUUUGAAACACAACUUAAAGCGAAACAAACAAGUUCUUGGCAAGAUGUUGAAGACAGCGAUUCUUUAUUGGAGUAAUGAGGAUCAAAUUAAUGGGGUUAAUCCCCCCUUUGAUUAUGUAAUCGCGGCGGAUGUUGUCUAUAUUGAAGAGAGUGUGGGGGCAUUGGUGAAGGCCAUGGAAAUGUUGGUGAAAGAUGAUGGGGUUGUUUUGUUGGGGUAUCAACUGAGAUCACCGGAGGCGGAUAAGUUGUUUUGGGAGAUUUGUGGAGAGGCUUUUGUGAUUGAGAAAGUUCCGAAAGAGGAUUUGCAUCCUGAGUAUUGUUAUGAGGAGACUGAUGUGUUUAUAUUCAGGAAAAAGAAGAAGAAUUUAUGAGACCUUUCAAAAGAUUAGUUGCUACAAGUUUAAAGGCUUUACAAUCGCUCGUCGUUAUCCCUCUUAUUCAUAGUGGAGCUCUGUAUUUAGUCAAUUUCUGAUGUCAAGGGGCAUUUUUGGUCCUUUAUAGGCAUCACAUCUACAGGCUGUUAUUGAUCUCUUCUUCCUUGAUUGCCGAGCCUCCUUACUACCUUCCUCUCGUAACAGAAUGAUAAUAUAGCAUUCAUCCAGGUGAUAUCAACCAGUCUUUUCAAGUUCCCUUCUUGUCGGAAAAUCAGGAUAUGUGCUGUUUUCUGUUCAGGGUUCUUGCCUUUGGUGAUAUCAAUCAAUCUUUUCAAGUUCCCUUCUUGUCGGAAAAUCAGGAUAUGUGCUGUUUUCUGUUCAGGGUUCUUGCUUUGGGACAACCAAGCAUCAUGGGUACCACCAGCUGGCCAAGUUUUUCAAAUUUCAAGAACUAGAAAUGGGUCAUCAGAGUGUGAAGUGCAUGCAUAUACCCAAAUUUUAUCAUGAAGGAAACUAGCCCCACAACUGAUAAUGACAGAAGUAGGUAUAUUUUUACAAUUAGCUGAAGAGAGCAGGUAUUUCUACUUGAACUUUCAUUUAAGCUUGAAGAUUUCGUCUUGAGUUGUAAUCUGUGAUGUGUUGUGAAAUCUUAAGCUUGCAUUCUUAAUUUUGUAAAAUUAAAAUAUUUCUACUUGCUCUCAUCUGAACAGCCAGGUUAUUUCUGCACAAGUCUCAGCUCUGUUUGCUCUCUGGUUAGGAAAUGGAGUAAAAAGUGCAUGGUUGGAGUUGAACUGUAACUGCUAGUGGAACAAUAUCAAAUUUUAUAUUUUCUUACUGAUAUUCUACUUGCUUUAAGAUUGAACAUUGAAUAAAAUUUCUUGACUUGACCAUAAAAUACAAACAACCUAAUGUUGUUGGAAAAACUUCAGAAGUUCUACAUUCUGCUGUCAUCACUUGUUUCAUGAUUGAGGAUUCGCUGGUUCAGUUAAGAGGCCAUAACUGAGUGUCAGAGCCUAUCAAACAAGUAUAUAGCUCUUCUACAGGAAACAUGUCAUCAUUUCCAGCGUCUCCCCAAUUACAGAUCAUGUUUCCAGGAGAACUUGAGUUUGCCUGCUCAUCACUAGAUCCUGACACUGAAGGGAGAGUUGCAGCAGAUGAGGUUGGUCCAAAAAGUAUCAUUUGUUGAACCUUGUUCAGCUCAAAUUUAAGCAUGCUGACUUGUUUCUCGAGCCUGAUGUUUUCUGCCAAUACAUUACCUAGCUCUAGCUGGAUGUUCAUGUAGUCAUGCUCUAUGGCAUCAUUUUUGUGCCUGGCUCUUCUAUUUUGAUACCAUAUUGCAACUUGUUUUGGUGGCACGCCUAGUUGGCGGGCAAGCUCAGUCUUGUGCUCUGCUUUGAGCUUCUGGUUAGCAUUGAAACUUGUUUCCAGGAGGUUAAGCUGGUCUCUAGCAAGCCUUUUCUUUCUGGGUUUGAGAGGUCGGUUGCCUUGGCUUUGUGACUGGUGGUGUAAAUGGGAAUUCAUGUCUUUCGGUGUUUCUGAAGAUUAGAAAUUUAGAACUCAAGACGUGGAUAGAAAGGAUAAUCUUCGAGUGCCCUUUUAUAGGGUGCAGCAAGUACGGAUUGGCAUUUUGAUCUUAGCGUCAAAAUUGAUGGGCCAAAAUUAGCCCAAUAUAUAGCUGCUCCUGCUAUUGUGGGGAAUGGUGGUCUCUAAUUGGUAGAAGGUUCUUGUCUAUACUUUGUUCAACAGAUCAAUACGAACUGUAGCUGCUAGAAAAACAGAUUGAUCUCUUGACUGAUCUAUGAUAGCCUCACUAGUAUUAAUCUAUCAAAGUUUCUUCUUGAAUAA